AACGAACGCUGGCGGCAUGCCUAACACAUGCAAGUCGAACGAGACCUUCGGGUCUAGUGGCGCACGGGUGCGUAACGCGUGGGAACCUGCCCUUAGGUUCGGAAUAACUCCCCGAAAGGGGUGCUAAUACCGGAUAAUGUCUUCGGACCAAAGAUUUAUUGCCUUUGGAUGGGCCCGCGUUGGAUUAGCUAGUUGGUAGGGUAAUAGCCUACCAAGGCGACGAUCCAUAGCUGGUCUGAGAGGAUGAUCAGCCACACUGGGGCUGAGACACGGCCCAGACUCCUACGGGAAGCAGCAGUGGGGAAUAUUGGACAAUGGGCGAAAGCCUGAUCCAGCAAUGCCGGGUGAGUGAUGAAGGCCUUAGGGUUGUAAAGCUCUUUUACCCGGGAUGAUAAUGACAGUACCGGGAGAAUAAGCCCCGGCUAACUCCGUG
rnacentral:rRNA from 1 species